rnacentral:rRNA from 1 species
CGAACGCUGGCGGCGUGCUUAACACAUGCAAGUCGAACGAUGAAGCCUAGCUUGCUAGGUGGAUUAGUGGCGAACGGGUGAGUAAUACGUGAGUAACCUACCUUUAACUCUGGGAUAAGCCCGGGAAACUGGGUCUAAUACCGGAUACGACCAAUCUCCGCAUGGGGUGUUGGUGGAAAGCGUUAUGUAGUGGUUAUAGAUGGGCUCACGGCCUAUCAGCUUGUUGGUGAGGUAACGGCUCACCAAGGCGACGACGGGUAGCCGGCCUGAGAGGGUGACCGGCCACACUGGGACUGAGACACGGCCCAGACUCCUACGGGAGGCAGCAGUGGGGAAUAUUGCACAAUGGGCGCAAGCCUGAUGCAGCGACGCCGCGUGAGGGAUGACGGCCUUCGGGUUGUAAACCUCUGUUAGCAGGGAAGAAGAGAGAUUGACGGUACCUGCAGAGAAAGCGCCGGCUAACUACGUG